rnacentral:tRNA from 1 species
AAAAAAUUAGUUAAUUUUAUAACGUAAAUAUGUCAUAUUUAAAUAAUUAAAAGAUUUUAAUAUUUUUUU